rnacentral:misc_RNA from 1 species
GUCGCUGUGGUUUGCUUUAAAAUCUGACCAUCCGCCUUUGCAAAAAUUUGCCUGAUUUUACAAACGAAUCAGGCUCAUCCCAUCGACAUAAAAAAAAUGCCGAUUUAU